CAGUGGAGUGUUUGAACGUCGUCAUAAACAUUCUAUUCAAAGCUGCUUCUUUGAAGGGGCUGAGCUAUUACAACUUCGUCACCUACUGUUUUGUUCUAGCCACCUUGGUUUUCAUCCCUUUACUCUUCUUUAGAAAUACAGUGUUCCCUCCUUUGAAGUUCCCUAUCAUCUCUAGACCCUGCCUUCUUGGCCUUACAGGGUGUUUAGCAAGGAUAUGUUCAUAUAAAGGUGUACAACUUAGCUCUCCAACUCUUUCAUCUGCUCUUGGCAAUCUCUUACCAGCUUAUACCUUCAUACUUGCUGUCUUAUU